rnacentral:rRNA from 1 species
GACGAACCGUGCGAACGUUGUUCGGAAUCAUUGGGCGUAAAGGGCGCGUAGGCGGCGGGGUAAGUCUGGUGUGAAAUCUCGGAGCUCAACUCCGAAAUUGCACUGGAUACUGCUCUGCUAGAGGGCUGGAGAGGAGAUCGGAAUUCACGGUGUAGCAGUGAAAUGCGUAGAUAUCGUGAGGAAGACCAGUGGCGAAGGCGGAUCUCUGGACAGCUCCUGACGCUGAGGCGCGAAGGCUAGGGGAGCAAACGGG